AUGAACGCUGGCCGCGUGCCUAAUACCUGCAAGUCGAGCGAACAGACGAGGAGCUUGCUCCUCUGACGUUAGCGGCGGACGGGUGAGUAACACGUGGAUAACCUACCUAUAAGACUGGGAUAACUUCGGGAAACCGGAGCUAAUACCGGAUAAUAUAUUGAACCGCAUGGUUCAAUAGUGAAAGACGGUUUUGCUGUCACUUAUAGAUGGAUCCGCGCCGCAUUAGCUAGUUGGUAAGGUAACGGCUUACCAAGGCAACGAUGCGUAGCCGACCUGAGAGGGUGAUCGGCCACACUGGAACUGAGACACGGUCCAGACUCCUACGGGAGGCAGCAGUAGGGAAUCUUCCGCAAUGGGCGAAAGCCUGACGGAGCAACGCCGCGUGAGUGAUGAAGGUCUUCGGAUCGUAAAACUCUGUUAUUAGGGAAGAACAAAUGUGUAAGUAACUAUGCACGUCUUGACGGUACCUAAUCAGAAAGCCACGGCUAACUACGUG
rnacentral:rRNA from 1 species